GAAAAUUAAACCGUGCUUAUCUUGUUAACGUUUGACCCCUAGUUUAUUAUAGAUAUUUUGCAUGUCUCGAUCCCUCUAUCGAUCGAUAUCAUUUUUAUGUAGGUAUCUUGGAUGAUGCGUAUCGAUAUCGAACUGUUUGUAGUUCUAAUAAUAGUAAGCUGUUAUAAUAGUACUGUAUUUGGUAAGAUUGCAUACAUUGCUGGCAAAAAUGGCGCACACUGUGGGGUCGAGAUUACGCGCAAAAUAUUCCUAAUGAACUGGAGGUCAAAGUUUAACGAGAUAAACAGGCGUCUAGGCGACGUAGGUAACGGAGAACGGGACGCGUCGCGCCGCACACCAUAGGCACAACAUCAAACCUGUAUAACUUUAACGUCAACGUUAUACAGGCUGAAAAUUAAACGGUGCCUAUCUUGUUAACGUUUGACCCCUGGUUUAUUAUAGAUAUUUUGCAUGUCUCGAUCCCUCUAUCGAUCGAUAUCAUUUUUAUAUAGGUAGCGUGGAUGAUGCGUAUCGAUAUCGAACUGUUUGUAGUUCUAA
rnacentral:lncRNA from 1 species